GCUUCUCCUCCCUUCAAUAUUCCACCGGCGGCGGAACGGUUCUCUCUCCCUUCACUUUUAAACUCGCGGCGGUGAUGUACAUCAUCUCCGGCGAGACUUCGACCUUGCUCUCUCGUUUCGUUCUCCGUACUCUCUUCGUCUCUUGCGUUCUCAAUCGCUCUCUGCGUUCAUUCUCACCUCGGUUCUCAGCCUCUACUUAUGGAUUCAACAUGAUGAUGAGGUUGAUGAUUCUCUGCAGUUGCGAUGAAAAUGAUUUGGUUGCGAUUCUCAGAGCUGGACAACGAUUGAAGAUUUGAUGGAUAUCGAAUCUUGAUUGAAGAUGGUGAAGGUUGAAGCGGUGAUGAAGGUACUGAGCGAAAGAUGAAGAAUGGUGAAGGUUUAGAAUGAAGAAUGGAAGAGGUUGAAGAUGAGAAAAAAGAGGUUGAAAAGAGGAGGCCGUGAAGGUGAUGGAGAUGGAAGAAAGAUGGAGGAGGAUCGAAGGGUGUGGAAAACCAGAAGUGAAGAUUGUGAAUGGUGAAGAAAGCUUUGAAGAGGGAGUUGAAGAUUGAGAGAGUGGAGGAGAGUUCUGAAUGAUGGUGGUUCUGAUUUAUAGAAGCUCCUCAGGGGUUGUGAUGUUAAAAGCUCAUGAAGAAGAGGAAAAGAAUUGAAGGAGAAUUAGCUCUUGAAGACUCGAUCACAUGAAUACUGUAUGAUAGGCUUUAGGAAGUCAAUUGAAUUAGUCGGAGAGUCAACAAGUCAACGGUCAACCGUGGCUUUUCUUUUGUAAUUUUCUUUUGUAAUUUUCUUUUUGUUGUAAUAAUUGAAACUUGUAACAACUUGUAUUCCACGUGGCUUGAACUUUAUAAUUGUGACGAACUUAUGACGGUGACUUAUGUUCCAAACAGUGUGAAAUGAAUGGUUUCCUUCUCUUC